ACCAGACUCCUACGGGAGGCAGCAGUGGGGAAUAUUGGACAAUGGGGGGAACCCUGAUCCAGCGACGCCGCGUGAGUGAAGAAGUAUUUCGGUAUGUAAAGCUCUAUCAGCAGGGAAGAAAGAAAUGACGGUACCUGACUAAGAAGCCCCGGCUAACUACGUGCCAGCAGCCGCGGUAAUACGUAGGGGGCAAGCGUUAUCCGGAUUUACUGGGUGUAAAGGGGGCGCAGACGGCAGCGCAAGCCAGGAGUGAAAGCCCGGGGCCCAACCCCGGGACUGCUCUUGGAACUGCGCGGCUGGAGUGCAGGAGGGGCAGGCGGAAUUCCUGGUGUAGCGGUGAAAUGCGUAGAUAUCAGGAGGAACACCGGCGGCGAAGGCGGCCUGCUGGACCGCGACUGACGUUGAGGCUCGAAAGCGUGGGGAGCAAACAGGAUUAGAUACCCCUGUA
rnacentral:rRNA from 1 species